rnacentral:rRNA from 1 species
AUGGCUUCCCAGUGGCAGCGCCCAUGGCACGGUGGUGGACGGCUUCUUCCCGGCGGCGGUGCGCAUGGCGCGGUGGUUGACAAGCUCGGGAGGCGGCGCGCGCUGGAGCAGAGAGGGACGAGGCGGAGGCUCACAAGCAGGCCGGUGCUGGAGCCGGUGGUGCGCCGGUCGGAUGCGGAUGCACCUUCUUUUCCCCCGGCAGCGCUUAUGGGUAACGAAGAACUACAGAGGCUGACGUGUGGGUCCCAUGUGCAGCUUCUUGUACAGGCUAAACACCGUGAGAUUUUGGUGUCACGUCAGCACUGA